rnacentral:rRNA from 1 species
AAAUAGCUCUUCGAGUGUGACUUGUGGGCGUACGUGAGCUUUAACCGGCCUCGUUGUUUGCGAUGUUUGUGCUUUUUGGGUGUACUUUUUCGUAUGGUAGGCCAACGUCUGUCUCGGCCACCAUAAAAUGAUUAGAGGAAUGUAUCUUCCAUCUUGUAUUGAAGUGUUAUAGCCUCUGGUAGAUGUGGUGAACGAAACUGAAGAUUGCAACUAAUACCCUCUGGGCUAUCCCUCUGACCUCUGAAAGUUGCUUGGGUGCCGAAAGCUUGCUUACGGUCAUUCAUGAUGACGGUCAAAAGGUUAGAACGUGAUUACAUUCGUUAAAGACGUUGGCGUA